GCCUCAGAGCGAGCCUUCCCCUGCCCCCGCCGGGUCUCAUGGGUCGAGCUCAGCCCGUCGUUGCUCUGCCUCUGCGGUAGUUUUCCUUAGGCCCGGCCUCCUCUUUUAUCUGAUACAGUAGCUUUUGGUGUCUCCCUGUGAUUUGUUGCAAGGUAUAGCAAGUAGGCACACGGUGGUAAGGAAUUAGCUAGUUAAGGCUUCUCCUAAAGCUGAGAACUCCCAGCUUCUGGUAAUGUCAGCUCCAGAAGUAAUUUAAGUGUUCUGUUUAGCAGUGUAUUUAGCAAUAUUAAGAAGAUAUGUACUAUUUACUUUAAAUGGCCGUAUUGGAAAAGGAUAUUCUCGUCCGUUUGAUUAAACCAUCUACUACACCUUGCUGUAGAUAUUUGAUAAUAAACUUCAUAAGUGACUUCUGAAAUUUUACACUGUAAUAGUUGGCCUCUCUGUUAUUAGGAGUCACUUAGUGAUUUCAUGAUCGAAGCAGGCUAGAAAUGGAUGAUCACACCUAAACUGAAAGCAGUCCUCAGGAUUCCUUAGGAAUGAAUAAUACCUUCUGUUAAGAAGAGUUCAAGUGUGUUGGUGCUCCUUGACUGCCUAGAAUAUGCCUCAUGAGAUAGAGAUAAACAACGUGGAGUCAAAAGAGUUCCUUGCAAAUUGAUUGGUCUUCCAGACUUGCCUUGGACCAGAAUGUGUGCUAAUUGUAUGGGCAAGGAAAAUCUUGUCCUGGGAAAUGUAAUCUUUAUGGAGAAAUGCCCUUGAUUAAAGAGAGAAAACCAGCAAGGGAUGUGCAAGGCAUCGGAACAGAUCUGUUGAGUGGAUGAUUGCAGACUUCACACAAGAUCAUUCAGUUGUCCUAUGUAAUGUUUUGUCUUGAACUGAAACUGACUGAGACUAUUACAUCUUCAAUGCUCAUGUUUAAACAAUCUAGCCAUUGGUUGCAACAGAAGUUUCUUAAAAGCUGUGGCAAUUUAUUUCUGUAUGGAUUGACUGAAAUAAAGUUAAUACAUGAA